ACGUAGGGCGCAAGCGUUAUCCGGAAUUACUGGGCGUAAAGCGCGUGUAGGCGGUCUCUUAAGUCUGAUGUGAAAGCCCUGGGCUCAACCCAGGAAGUGCAUUGGAUACUGGGAGACUUGAAUACGGGAGAGGGUAGUGGAAUUCCUAGUGUAGGAGUGAAAUCCGUAGAUAUUAGGAGGAACACCGGUGGCGAAGGCGGCUACCUGGACCGAUAUUGACGCUGAGACGCGAAAGCGUGGGGAGCAAACAGGA
rnacentral:rRNA from 1 species